UGAUUUACAUUUGAGUGAGUGGCGAACUGGUGAGUAACACGUGGGAAACCUGCCCAGAAGCGGGGGAUAACACCUGGAAACAGAUGCUAAUACCGCAUAACAACUUGGACCGCAUGGUCCGAGUUUGAAAGAUGGCUUCGGCUAUCACUUUUGGAUGGUCCCGCGGCGUAUUAGCUAGAUGGUGGGGUAACGGCUCACCAUGGCAAUGAUACGUAGCCGACCUGAGAGGGUAAUCGGCCACAUUGGGACUGAGACACGGCCCAAACUCCUACGGGAGGCAGCAGUAGGGAAUCUUCCACAAUGGACGAAAGUCUGAUGGAGCAACGCCGCGUGAGUGAAGAAGGGUUUCGGCUCGUAAAACUCUGUUGUUAAAGAAGAACAUAUCUGAGAGUAACUGUUCAGGUAUUGACGGUAUUUAACCAGAAAGCCACGGCUAACUACGUGCCAGCAGCCGCGGUAAUACGUAGGUGGCAAGCGUUGUCCGGAUUUAUUGGGCGUAAAGCGAGCGCAGGCGGUUUUUUAAGUCUGAUGUGAAAGCCUUCGGCUCAACCGAAGAAGUGCAUCGGAAACUGGGAAACUUGAGUGCAGAAGAGGACAGUGGAACUCCAUGUGUAGCGGUGAAAUGCGUAGAUAUAUGGAAGAACACCAGUGGCGAAGGCGGCUGUCUGGUCUGUAACUGACGCUGAGGCUCGAAAGUAUGGGUAGCAAACAGGAUUAGAUACCCUGGUAGUCCAUACCGUAAACGAUGAAUGCUAAGUGUUGGAGGGUUUCCGCCCUUCAGUGCUGCAGCUAACGCAUUAAGCAUUCCGCCUGGGGAGUACGGCCGCAAGGCUGAAACUCAAAGGAAUUGACGGGGGCCCGCACAAGCGGUGGAGCAUGUGGUUUAAUUCGAAGCUACGCGAAGAACCUUACCAGGUCUUGACAUACUAUGCAAAUCUAAGAGAUUAGACGUUCCCUUCGGGGACAUGGAUACAGGUGGUGCAUGGUUGUCGUCAGCUCGUGUCGUGAGAUGUUGGGUUAAGUCCCGCAACGAGCGCAACCCUUAUUAUCAGUUGCCAGCAUUAAGUUGGGCACUCUGGUGAGACUGCCGGUGACAAACCGGAGGAAGGUGGGGAUGACGUCAAAUCAUCAUGCCCCUUAUGACCUGGGCUACACACGUGCUACAAUGGAUGGUACAACGAGUUGCGAACUCGCGAGAGUAAGCUAAUCUCUUAAAGCCAUUCUCAGUUCGGAUUGUAGGCUGCAACUCGCCUACAUGAAGUCGGAAUCGCUAGUAAUCGCGGAUCAGCAUGCCGCGGUGAAUACGUUCCCGGGCCUUGUACACACCGCCCGUCACACCAUGAGAGUUUGUAACACCCAAAGUCGGUGGGGUAACCUUUUAGGAACCAGCCGCCUAAGGUGGGACAGAUGAUUAGGGUGAAGUCGUAACAAGGUAGCCGU
rnacentral:rRNA from 1 species